GUCAAUAUGGCCGAGUUGGUCUAAGGCGCCAGUUUCAGGUACUGGUCCGAAAGGGCGUGGGUUCGAAUCCCACUGUUGACA
rfam:Marchantia polymorpha subsp. polymorpha scaffold4461, whole genome shotgun sequence.